CCCACAUCAGGGCCUGCAGUCUGGGGGCUGCUCUCCAUGCCACAUGUGGGAGAGGCCGAGUGCAGAGAAGAGAUCUGAGGAUGGGACCACAGAACCCCUGGGCCACCAGACAGGUGACCUGCCUGAGGGUGGCAGUGCCUGGAACUGCAAGCAGGUGGCAGAACAGGUUGUCUCUCCAAGAUUCCCAGUGAAGGGGAAGCACCUAGUGACUCUGAGCCUUGUUGGAGCUUGGCCAGGCUGAAGGUGGGCCCAGAUGACAGCCCCUAACCCCUUCCCGUCUCCACCUAGGCCUUCCCUUUUUAAACCCUAUCCAAGCAAUUCCUGCCUCCCACCUCCCCGUGCCUGGGCAGAAAAAGGGGCAGGAUUGCUUUGCCCAUUUUACAAAUGAGUCAAUGGAGGGCCAGGGGAGGGAACAGAUCCUCCCUCCUGGUUUGGUCAGUUCAUGCCAAAUUCAGGACUGGGGCCUGAACCUUGAGACUGCCGAGGAACAACCCCCUCACCCCCAUUUCUUGCUCCCUCUAUGGCCCAGGACCUGCUCUUUCUCAAGCUUCCACCCCAACUCCCCUCCCCAUUGCUCUGCCUGCUCACCCAGGCUGGAACCAUGGGGCCAUCUUCUUCUGCAGCCCCCAAACUCCUCAGGCAGGGCAAGCCUGAAGUUGGUACCAAGAACUGUGGUAAGGGGCCAAGUGGCUGCCAACCUCACUUUUUCCCUUGGUGUUGUGGGAAGAGCAGAUAGCAUGGGGCUCCAAAGCCCCACACAGUGAGGCAAUCAUGGACACUUCAUUCAGCCCCUCUGACCACCCAGUUCCUCAUGGGUAAACGGGGCUGGGCAGCUCUUGCAGGUCUGGCCCACUGGGGCCGUCCAGCAGCUCAGGCCUGGUGGCUUCUAACUGGUGACCUGCCCUCUUAACACCCCUUGGUGGGACUGGCUUUUAUGUUAUUGGGUUCCCCAGGCUGGGAAUGAGGGGCUGCUCUGCUGGGCCACGAGCUGAACCCAGCGAAGGGAAGCUGGUGUUGCUGCCACAGGAGGAUCAGCCAGGAGUGUGGCACCUCCUGGAUGCUGCUGUGCCUGCUGGGAGAGAAAGCAGCACUCCACUGGGUUUCUUGGGAAACCCCACGGGUAGAGAAUGUUUCUCACUGGGUUCUGUUGUUCUGUUCCACUGCUAGACAGCCUGUGCCACAUCUGUCACAGCGACGGCCACACCCACAGAAUGGGCAGCAGAGGCUGCAACAUCCUGGCCUGCAACCCAGGUCCUGGUGAGUCAGGCAGAAAGUGAAGGUGGCUGGUGCCUGCUCCUCUGCCUCCUCCAGGCAGGCCUCCCUGAAUGCAACUCUUGGAGAUUGGGAGCAACUCAGUCAGCAGACUUUCUCUGACCCAGCAGACUUGGCUCUCAAGGGCAGCAAGCCCUCAUUCACCUCCAAGCUCACGGUUGAGCGUACAGAAACUGCUUGAUUCCUCCUGUGGACUCGGCAUGAGGGAGACACCAGGGAGGCCCCUGUGUGAUUUUUCACUUUGCUUUCAAGUUAAAUGGUGUGAUGGGCUACCUGAGAUUUUGCUCAAAAUGUGAACAUCUGGCUCAGGCUGUGAUCGACUGAUCAGAGCUGACCUGGACUACUGAAGGCCUUGGUAUCCCCUGGGUGAGGCCAGGGAGGGGGCCCCCUGGCCUCAGAGUAAAGACUCUCUAGACCUCCCUCCCCUGUCUGCAGAUUUGAGUUCAGGGUAACAUCUCCAGACAGAAACCUUGGCCCCAGGCUCCCAGAGGAUCACCUUCCCAGCAGAACCCUGAGAGAGAGGGGGAUCCUUGAAAGCUGAGGGCAGACCUGAGAAGCAGGUCCUCCUCCUCCGCCCAGCAGAAGGUCUCUUUGACACAGACUGCUUUCCCCAGGCCAGGGGCUGGGAAAAGGAAACCCCCUUCCCAGAUGGGUCUCAGCUCCGCCCCCCUCUCUGCUUCCCGGACAGACCCUCUCCUGGGCUGAAGGCUGUAGCCCUAGAGUUUUCUCUGGGAUGGGGGAGGGGACACCCACUUCUUG
rnacentral:lncRNA from 10 species